GACGAACGCUGGCGGCGCGCCUAACACAUGCAAGUCGAACGAGCAAAGAGGAGCUUGCUUCUCUGAGCGAGUGGCGAACGGGUGAGUAACGCGUGAGGAACCUGCCUCAAAGAGGGGGACAACAGUUGGAAACGACUGCUAAUACCGCAUAAGCCCACGGGUCGGCAUCGACCAGAGGGAAAAGGAGCAAUCCGCUUUGAGAUGGCCUCGCGUCCGAUUAGCUAGUUGGUGAGGUAAUGGCCCACCAAGGCGACGAUCGGUAGCCGGACUGAGAGGUUGAACGGCCACAUUGGGACUGAGACACGGCCCAGACUCCUACGGGAGGCAGCAGUGGGGAAUAUUGCGCAAUGGGGGGAACCCUGACGCAGCAACGCCGCGUGAAGGAAGAAGGUCUUCGGAUUGAAACUUUGCUUUGGUGAAGAUAAUGACGGUAGCCAAGGAGGAAGCCAACGGCUAACUACGUGCCAGCAG
rnacentral:rRNA from 1 species